rnacentral:ribozyme from 1 species
GCCGCUCGAAACUUUGCACACCUCUACGUGGUGAGCGGCAGGCAACACAGCAUGGGUGCUGUGGCUAAGAUGCAAAG